rnacentral:rRNA from 1 species
GACGAACGCUGGCGGCGUGCUUAACACAUGCAAGUCGAACGGAAAGGCCCUGCUCUUGUGGGGUGCGCGAGUGGCGAACGGGUGAGUAACACGUGAGUAACCUGUCCUUGACUUUGGGAUAACUUCAGGAAACUGGGGCGAAUACCGGAUAGGAAAUCCUGCUGCAUGGGGGGGGUUGGUGAGAUUCGGCGGUUGGGGAUGGACGCGCGGCUUAUCAGCUUGUUGGUGGGGUAGUGGCGUACCAGGGCUUUGACGGGUAGCCGGCCUGGGAGGGUGACCGGCCACAUUGGCACUGAGGUACGGGCCAGACUGCUACGGGAGGCAGCAGUGGGAAUUAUUGCACAAUGCGCCGAAGCCGGGUGCAGCGACGCCGGGUCCGGGAUGACGGCCUUCGGGUUAUAAACCUCGUUCGCCUGUGACGAAGCGUGAGUGACGGUAAUGAGUAAGAAAGCACCGGCUAACUACGUG